GGUUUAAAGAAAUGUUUGAGUGCAAAUCAAAUGAUGGGUCUGCGAUGGCCCUUAAGCCU
rnacentral:tRNA from 1 species